rnacentral:tRNA from 1 species
GCGGGCGUGGCGGAAUGGCAGACGCGCUAGACUUAGGAUCUAGUGGGUUUUCGCCCGUGGAGGUUCAAGUCCUCUCGCCCGCACCA